GAUGAACGCUGGCGGCGUGCCUAACACAUGCAAGUCGAACGGAGUCGUUUUGGAAAUCUCUUCGGAGAUGGAAUUCUCGACUUAGUGGCGGACGGGUGAGUAACGCGUGAGCAAUCUGCCUUUAAGAGGGGGAUAACAGUCGGAAACGGCUGCUAAUACCGCAUAAAGCAUUAAAUUCGCAUGUUUUUGAUGCCAAAGGAGCAAUCCGCUUUUAGAUGAGCUCGCGUCUGAUUAGCUAGUUGGCGGGGUAACGGCCCACCAAGGCGACGAUCAGUAGCCGGACUGAGAGGUUGAACGGCCACAUUGGGACUGAGACACGGCCCAGACUCCUACGGGAGGCAGCAGUGGGGAAUAGUGCGCAAUGGGGGAAACCCUGACGCAGCAACGCCGCGUGAUUGAAGAAGGCCUUCGGGGUGUAAAGAUCUUUAAUCAGGGACGAAACAAAUGACGGUACCUGAAGAAUAAGCUCCGGCUAACUACGUG
rnacentral:rRNA from 1 species